AGGGCUAUAGCUCAGUUGGUAGAGCACCUCGUUUACACAAUAAGUUUGAUCUGUUUUACC
rnacentral:tRNA from 25 species